UACGAAGGUCCCGAGCGUUGUUCGGAAUCACUGGGCGUAAAGGGAGCGUAGGCGGCGCGGUAAGUCAGAUGUGAAAUCCCGGGGCUCAACCCCGGAACUGCAUCCGAUACUGCCGUGCUUGAGGAUUGGAGAGGUAGCUGGAAUUCUUGGUGUAGCAGUGAAAUGCGUAGAGAUCAAGAGGAACACUCGUGGCGAAAGCGGGCUACUGGUCCAUAUCUGACGCUGAGGCUCGAAGGCCAGGGUAGCGAACGGG
rnacentral:rRNA from 1 species